GGGGAUCUAGCUCAGUUGGUAGAGUGCUUGCCUUGCAUGCACAAGGCCCUGGGUUCAAUCCCCAGCACCA
rnacentral:tRNA from 1 species